UAUCUUUUAAAAUGUUACAUCAUAUUAACAUAGAAAAAAAUGAAACAUUUUAUUAUGACAUUUGUCGGCAUUUGAUUUCAGAAGGACGUAAUCCCUAUGGAAGUUACGGCAGGUCCAACAGAGGGGGGCUUCCUCAACUUGGAUCAGGUCGUGGCGGCGCUAGUAAUGGUGGAUUGCGAUGCAGUAUGCCUAAUUAAACUAGCUACAUGGAUGUUAGAAACAGCAAACAGCUAUCUUAAUAAAUGUAUUGACAUUCUUAAAUACAAAGGGACAAAUAACUUUGACUACAUUUACAUAUAAAUUAUAAAUUGCUUACAUUUAGAUAUGUUAUUAUUAACAUUGAUUACAAGUGCCUACAUGUAACUAUAUAUGUAUGUACCUUUAGUUAAAUGAUUUAUGCUUGAACAGUUUCAAGUUAAGAAACCUCUCAAAUACAAUAUCAAGCGAGAUAAGAGAAUAUGGGUCACGCAUCAAAAAUGUUUGAAAUGCAUGAUUGUUGAAAUGAUUGUUAACAACAAAAACAAUGGUUUGUAAAACAAUACACUUGUAAACUUUAAAUCUAUAUUUGUAACAGAAAUAGAAAAAAUAUAUUAUAGCAUAAAAUCGGCUAUUUUUCCCUUUUUUGCCCAUGUUAUAACGGGGCCAAAACCAUGCGUUAAUAUAGUCACGCGCUCUUGUUAUAGCCCGGUUAUACCUAUGCGCAAUACA